AACGAACGCUGGCGGCAUGCCUAACACAUGCAAGUCGAACGAGACCUUCGGGUCUAGUGGCGCACGGGUGCGUAACGCGUGGGAACCUGCCCUUAGGUUCGGAAUAACUCCCCGAAAGGGGUGCUAAUACCGGAUAAUGUCUUCGGACCAAAGAUUUACCGCCUUUGGAUGGGCCCGCGUUGGAUUAGCUAGUUGGUAGGGUAAAAGCCUACCAAGGCGACGAUCCAUAGCUGGUCUGAGAGGAUGAUCAGCCACACUGGGACUGAGACACGGCCCAGACUCCUACGGGAGGCAGCAGUGGGGAAUAUUGGACAAUGGGCGAAAGCCUGAUCCAGCAAUGCCGCGUGAGUGAUGAAGGCCUUAGGGUUGUAAAGCUCUUUUACCCGGGAUGAUAAUGACAGUACCGGGAGAAUAAGCUCCGGCUAACUCCGUG
rnacentral:rRNA from 1 species